GGGGCCACUCUGAUCUCCUGUUGAGUAGGCAGGAGGAGGCUGCUGCUGAAUCUUCUUCCUGGAACUGCAGAGCUCCGCACCUGGCUGGGCCACCCAAACACCAGCUGGCUCUGAGCACAGAGCAGGGGGAGCCUGGCUUGGCAGGCAUGAGAAUAAGCUGCAGAUGCUGCUGUUUCUGUCUCCACCCUGUCUGCGUAGCUCAGAGCCAGGAUUCCAGGCCUCUAAGAGUCACUUUGACAUUCAUAGUCUGACAAAUGGGUGUUUGUUCUGUAUGAGGACAGCUGAAACAAGAUUCAAAGCCUAGAAACCAAGAUGGAAACCUAUCAAUGUCACCUGAAUGGCAGUAUGGAUAACAGCUAGACCCCCAGAAAUGGAUAUUCCACUAACAUCAAAGGAGUAUUGAGAAUCUGUACCAGUGAUAUCGGGAUCAAUCCUGUCUUGUGCAGCACUGAUAAGAAGAUGGGCGUAAUGUUUUUGACACUACAUAAUGUUUCUAUUUGUAUGGACAACCUGUAACCUAAGAAAUACUUUUAAGCAAAGAGAGACUCAACAAGCUGGUGAACUUUACACGUGGAAUGAACUGCACCUCAACAAAUAAAAAACAUUUCUCCAAAGAUCUAGCUGCCUAUACAUUCAGUUAAACAGAAGUUGUAAGAGUAUCUGUAAUAGCGCCAUCUGAUGAAUCCCAGUAGUAUUGCAUCCCCCUUCUUGUAAACCUUGUAUCAUUGUUAACAUAAGUUUAGCUGUCUACUGUUUUUAGCAACAUUGGGGGUCUAAUGUAGAUAGGCUCCCAUCUCUGGAAACCAUUUUUACCAUUCUGUCAAACAUAUUUUUGGCAAGACUAAUUAACAGAGAGCAGAAUACAGCUGCUGGAGCUAGAGUGAUCUACACUUGGGCUCCCAAUGUUGCUAACACUGGUGCAGUUGGAUAGGUAGUAGUAAUGGUAGGAAAAAAAUAUUUAAAAUUGUCUCAUGUAGAAAGUCUACAGAAGAAAAUGAAAAAUUAUCAAGUUAUCAAUAUAAACUUAAUAUGUACUGUCUACCCAAUAUUCACUACUAUUUAUAUAUAUAUAAAUUAUAAUUGUUAUUAUAAUAAUAAUCAUAGUUUGCGAAAACAAAAUUUGUCAAAAGAUUGCUACUUAUGUUCAAACAAAUUAUGAACUCUAUUAUAAUAAAUUUUCUCAGAUUCAGUCUGCCAGUUGCUUUUGCAACAUGAAUACCUUGGGUAAUGUUAUUGACUUUAAACAUAACAUGUCUUGGCUGUGUGAGUUCUGGUGUGUUCAGAUGUAUUGUGCAGUUCUGAUGAACAAAACUUUCUGGUGGUAUGGGUCUCCUGCACUCUGAU